GACGAACGCUGGCGGCGUGCUUAACACAUGCAAGUCGAACGAAGAGCGAUGGAAGCUUGCUUCUAUCAAUCUUAGUGGCGUACGGGUGAGUAACGCGUAAUCAACCUGCCUUUCAGAGGGGGACAACAGUUGGAAACGACUGCUAAUACCGCAUACGAUCUAAUCUCGGCAUCGAGGAAAGAUGAAAGGUGGCCUCUAUUCAUAAGCUAUCACUCAAGGGGGGGUAUGCGUCUGGUUAGCUAGCUGGGGGGGUAACGGCCCACCAAUGCGAGGAUCAGUAGCCGGUCUGGGAGGAUGAACGGCCACAAUGGGACUGGGACACCGCCCAGACUUCUACGGGGGGCAGCAGUGGGGAAUCCUCCGCCAUGGACGAAAGUCUGACGGAGCAACGCCGCGUGAGUGAUGACGGCCUUCGGGUUGGAAAAACCUGUUAAUCGGGACGAAAGGCCUUCUUGCGAAAAGUUAGAAGGAUUGACGGUACCGAAAUAGAAAGCCACGGCUAACUACGUG
rnacentral:rRNA from 1 species